rnacentral:rRNA from 1 species
GACGGACGCUGGCGGCGUGCCUAAUACAUGCGAGUCGAACGCAUUUUCUUUCACCGUAGCUUGCUACACCGAAAGAAAAUGAGUGGCGAACGGGUGAGUAACACGUGGGUAACCUGCCCAUCAGCGGGGGAUAACACUUGGAAACAGGUGCUAAUACCGCAUAAUUCCAUUUACCGCAUGGUAGAUGGAUGAAAGGCGCUUUUGCGUCACUGAUGGAUGGACCCGCGGUGCAUUAGCUAGUUGGUGGGGUAACGGCCUACCAAGGCUGCGAUGCAUAGCCGACCUGAGAGGGUGCUCGGCCACACUGGGACUGAGACACGGCCCAGACUCCUACGGGAGGCAGCAGUAGGGAAUCUUCGGCAAUGGACACAAGUCUGACCGAGCAACGCCGCGUGAGUGAAGAAGGUUUUCGGAUCGUAAAACUCUGUUGUUAGAGAAGAACAAGGAUGAGAGUGGAAAGUUCAUCCCUUGACGGUAUCUAACCAGAAAGCCACGGCUAACUACGUG